rnacentral:rRNA from 1 species
CCUACGGGGGGCAGCAGUAGGGAAUCUUCCACAAUGGGCGAAAGCCUGAUGGAGCAACGCCGCGUGGGUGAAGAAGGUCUUCGGAUCGUAAAACCCUGUUGUUAGAGAAGAAAGUGCGUGCGAGUAACUGUUCACGUUUCGACGGUAUCUAACCAGAAAGCCACGGCUAACUACGUGCCAGCAGCCGCGGUAAUACGUAGGUGGCAAGCGUUAUCCGGAUUUAUUGGGCGUAAAGGGAACGCAGGCGGUCUUUUAAGUCUGAUGUGAAAGCCUUCGGCUUAACCGGAGUAGUGCAUUGGAAACUGGGAGACUGGAGUGCAGAAGAGGAGAGUGGAACUCCAUGUGUAGAGGUGAAAUGCGUAGAUAUAUGGAAGAACACCAGUGGCGAAAGCGGCUCUCUGGUCUGUAACUGACGCUGAGGUUCGAAAGCGUGGGUAGCAAACAGGAUUAGAUACCCUAGUAGUC